UACGGAGGGUGCAAGCGUUGUCCGGAUUUAUUGGGUUUAAAGGGUGCGUAGGCGGCGUAGUAAGUCCGUGGUGAAAGCCAACAGCUCAACUGUUGAACUGCCAUGGAUACUGCUAGGCUUGAGUACAGACGAGGUAGGCGGAAUGGAUAGUGUAGCGGUGAAAUGCAUAGAUACUAUCCAGAACACCGAUUGCGAAGGCAGCUUACUAGACUGUAACUGACGCUGAGGCACGAAAGCGUGGGGAUCAAACAGG
rnacentral:rRNA from 1 species